AAAAAAACUGGCAAGAGGACUCACGAGUUAUCACGGGUGAAAAUGCAGGGCCUUCAUGCAGCACGUGGCAUCAGCCAGCACCCAUGUACCUGCCAUCGACGUCAUACACAGCGUAUUACGCUGGUGGUGACACGACAAUCGUCCCGUGGCAAGCUUCACAAAUUGCAGGUGGAGCACGACAUUUUGGUGUCACAGACCACACAAGAUGGCCAAAUGCAGCACAACAAGAACCUACAACUACAGUGAACAGCGGUGCGGGGACAUCUACUGCGGGGAGCU